ACGAACGCUGGCGGCGUGCCUAAUACAUGCAAGUAGAACGCUGAAGGAGGAGCUUGCUUCUCUGGAUGAGUUGCGAACGGGUGAGUAACGCGUAGGUAACCUGCCUGGUAGCGGGGGAUAACUAUUGGAAACGAUAGCUAAUACCGCAUAAUAGUAGAUGUUGCAUGACAUUUGCUUAAAAGGUGCAAUUGCAUCACUACCAGAUGGACCUGCGUUGUAUUAGCUAGUUGGUGAGGUAACGGCUCACCAAGGCAACGAUACAUAGCCGACCUGAGAGGGUGAUCGGCCACACUGGGACUGAGACACGGCCCAGACUCCUACGGGAGGCAGCAGUAGGGAAUCUUCGGCAAUGGACGGAAGUCUGACCGAGCAACGCCGCGUGAGUGAAGAAGGUUUUCGGAUCGUAAAGCUCUGUUGUAAGAGAAGAACGAGUGUGAGAGUGGAAAGUUCACACUGUGACGGUACCUGACCAGAAAGGGACGGCUAACUACGUG
rnacentral:rRNA from 1 species